AGCGAACGCUGGCGGCAGGCCUAACACAUGCAAGUCGAGCGCCGUAGCAAUACGGAGCGGCAGACGGGAGAGUAACACGUGGGAACGUGCCCUUUGGUUCGGAACAACCCAGGGAAACUUGGGCUAAUACCGGAUAAGCCCUUACGGGGAAAGAUUUAUCGCCGAAGGAUCGGCCCGCGUCUGAUUAGCUAGUUGGUGGGGUAACGGCCCACCAAGGCGACGAUCAGUAGUUGGUCUGAGAGGAUGAUCAGCCUCACUGGGACUGAGACACGGCCCAGACUCCUACGGGAGGCAGCAGUGGGGAAUAUUGGACAAUGGGCGCAAGCCUGAUCCAGCCAUGCCGCGUGGGUGAUGAAGGCCCUAGGGUUGUAAAGCCCUUUCGGCGGGGAAGAUAAUGACGGUACCCGCAGAAGAAGCCCCGGCUAACUUCGUGCCAGCCGCCGCCGUAAAAC
rnacentral:rRNA from 1 species